rnacentral:sRNA from 1 species
GCCGGGCAAGGUGGCGCAGGCCUGGAAUCCCAGCAGCUCCAGAGGCUGAGGCAGGAGGAUCUCGAGUUCAAAGCCAGCCUCAGCAACAGCGAGGCUCUAAGCAACUCAGUGAGACCCUGUCUCUG